rnacentral:rRNA from 1 species
UACGGGGGGGGGCAAGCGUUGUUCGGAAUUACUGGGCGUAAAGGGCGCGUAGGCGGCUUUUCAAGUCGGGCGUGAAAUCUCCGGGCUUAACCCGGAAGGGUCGUUCGAUACUGUUGAGCUAGAGUGUGGAAGAGGCAACUAGAAUUCCGUGUGUAGCGGUGAAAUGCGUAGAUAUACGGAGGAAUACCUGAGGCGAAGGCGGGUUGCUGG